UGCCGCAUUGUUCACCGCGGCGCCCCGGCUGGGCUGUCCGGGACCCACCCGGACCCACCCGGGCUGGCCUAGAUGGAGAGAAGGAAAGACAGCAGAGAUGGAGUCAAACGAAGAUGGAGAGACAGUGAUAAAGGGAAUGCCGAAUUAAGGAUAGGAGAAGUAGACAGAGAUUAACAAGAUUUAGGGAUGGGAGACACGGAUGAGAGAAGGCAGAGUAGUCUUAUAAGGGGACAGCUGAGCCUAGUGAGUUUGAAGGUAGUGUCAGUUCCAUAUCAGGACCCUGUCUCUUAAAAAAGCGAGGAAGGGAAGGCUCAAGGGGCGAGUAGCUGAGGUGGCGGCUCAGUUGGCCAACUGCAAACAUGAGGACCUGAGUUUGGCUCCCUAACACCCAUGUAGAAAACCUGGCAGACAUGGAGCACAGGCCUGCAAUCCUAAUACUGGGUAUGGGGAGGCAGAUGAAUUCAGGGGGGAUGCCGGCCAGCUAGCCUUCCAGGCGCAGCAAUAAACCCUGCCUCAAAAAGAAGGAGAAGGAGAAGGAGAAGGAGAAAGAAAAAUAAAAGAAAAAAGUGGAAAGCUGGGUAUGGUGAUGAACACCUUUAGUCCCAGCCCAGGCAGGAAGAGCUUUGUAAAUCUCAGGCCAACAGGGUCAAUACAGUUUCAGGUCAGAGAAGCUACACCCAGUCUGAAAAGGAAGGAAACAGAACAGUAGGGGAAGACAACCUCUGGCCUGCACACACACACACAGAGGCAUGCACACACGCACACAAGUACAUACAUGUGUAUACUAGAGAAGGGGGCAAGUGGGAGAGACAGCCAUGGAGAAAACAAUGUUUAGAAUCUGAGAGGAAGGGAUGAGGAGAUGAGAGGGACUUGCAGGAGGAAGGGUAGGAGAUCAAGCAGGCAGAGACAGUGAGGGAGAUGAAAGAGAACAGGUCUGAACAGGAAAGCACCAAGACUCGGGGGGGGGGGGUCGCUGUGCUCCUUGAUGUGCCUGGCAAUAGGAUGAGGUAGGGAUGGGACCCCAAGUUAGAUGAAGCCAUGUUCAGAGAGAGACUGGUGGGUCUACUCAUGGUUGACAGAUGUAGGGCCAGAUGUAUCCAGACACAGGGAAUGUCCCAAGAGAGGCUUAGAGAUUCAGAGCUGAUUCCUGCUCCAGGUCUCUAGUCCCCACUGCCCUGUUGCCACUGGCUCAACUUAAUACUCUCAGAAUGUCCCUUUGCAUCAUUCAUACAGAGGCACAGCCUUUCUAUAUACUGCUCCUGACACUCCAGCAUGCCUUCCCCCAGGGACGCACAUUAUAGCCCUUACAGUGCUUAUAGGUAUAGCCAUGGCAGUCAUAGACAUUUAACACAAUCAUAGACACAUGACAUAGCAAGGGACUCCUACCCCAUGUCAGAGUAAUGCCUCCCAGACACAUUGGACCUCGUUGGAAUCAUCUUUAAGCCCAGCACUCUGAAGGCAGGAGCAGUGACAAUGCCUCAACAGCUUCGGUUUCCUCAUCUGUAAAAUGACCCGUGGUGAAAUUCUACCUUGCGGAAUUUCUGAGGAUUUAUUCCUGAGGACGACGUUCGUGUCCUGUGCACUCCUGUAGGAUGCUCAGCUCACAGCUUCGGGCGGCACUGACACUUCUGGACCAAUACAGUGGAAAUCCUCACCCUGUGAGGGGAGACUAAUUGGCCAACUCCACACCACAGCACCACUGAUGUCCAGCGCUUUCGAGCCGGCACACAGCUGUUGCAGAGGACUACAGGGGUGGGAUCCGAGCUGGGAAUGUAGAAGGAGGAACAGUGGCCAAAACAGAGAUGAUUAAGGACCCGGGCACUUGUACAACCAGGCCUGGAGAUCACCUGUAAACAGAGACAGGGGACAGUCAGCAUUGUGGAGUCUAGGACUAGAGGAAUGAGAAUGAUUACCCUCCAUUUCUACACGAACAAAAAGAUGUGGAUGCUGAAGGCUGAAGUUUUCAAUUUUGACUCCCCCUCCUAGCUGUAUGGCCUGCAGCAACUUACUCGACCUUUCCACACUCCUGCAUAAAAUCUUCCAAGUCCAAGGCUGGUGAGAGUCAUAAAAUGAUGUGGUGCAAUCAUGAAGACCGGAGUUCAGAUCCCCAGCGAUCAUGGGACACCUGCCUGUAAUCUCAACCCUGGGAAGGUGAUGACAAGAGGCUCCCUGGGGCUUGCUGGCCAACCCA